GAUGAACGCUGGCGGCGUGCCUAAUACAUGCAAGUCGCGCGAACGGACGAGAAGCUUGCUUCUCUGAUGUUAGCGGCGGACGGGUAAGUAACACGUGGAUAACCUACCUAUAAGACUGGGAUAACUUCGGGAAACCGGAGCUAAUACCGGAUAAUAUUUUGAACCGCAUGGUUCAAAAGUGAAAGACGGUCUUGCUGUCACUUAUAGAUGGAUCCGCGCUGCAUUAGCUAGUUGGUAAGGUAACGGCUUACCAAGGCAACGAUGCAUAGCCGACCUGAGAGGGUGAUCGGCCACACUGGAACUGAGACACGGUCCAGACUCCUACGGGAGGCAGCAGUAGGGAAUCUUCCGCAAUGGGCGAAAGCCUGACGGAGCAACGCCGCGUGAGUGAUGAAGGUCUUCGGAUCGUAAAACUCUGUUAUUAGGGAAGAACAUAUGUGUAAGUAACUGUGCACAUCUUGACGGUACCUAAUCAGAAAGCCACGGCUAACUACGUG
rnacentral:rRNA from 1 species